AUAGCACCCAUCAGGGGAAGGUAAGAACCUUCGACCAAGGUUCGCGCUGAGCAUAGCGAGACAACGACGCGCAGCGGCGGCCCGAAGGGUGAGGAACGAAGUGACGAGUAAUCCUUCCCCCACCACCU
rnacentral:sRNA from 1 species